rnacentral:rRNA from 1 species
UCUACGGGGGGCAGCAGUGGGGAAUAUUGGACAAUGGGCGAAAGCCUGAUCCAGCCAUGCCGCGUGUGUGAAGAAGGCCUUCGGGUUGUAAAGCACUUUCAGUGGGGAAGAAAGCCUUGGGGCUAAUACCCUCGAGGAAGGACAUCACCCACAGAAGAAGCACCGGCUAACUCCGUGCCAGCAGCCGCGGUAAUACGGAGGGUGCGAGCGUUAAUCGGAAUUACUGGGCGUAAAGCGCGCGUAGGCGGUCUGAUAAGCCGGUUGUGAAAGCCCCGGGCUCAACCUGGGAACGGCAUCCGGAACUGUCAGGCUAGAGUGCAGGAGAGGAAGGUAGAAUUCCCGGUGUAGCGGUGAAAUGCGUAGAGAUCGGGAGGAAUACCAGUGGCGAAGGCGGCCUUCUGGACUGACACUGACGCUGAGGUGCGAAAGCGUGGGUAGCAAACAGGAUUAGAUACCCGAGUAGUC